UUCAAAUAAAUCCACUUAACUACUACGAUAAAUUCAAAGUUGAUAAACUACAUAUCAUUGCUUUAAAUUUUGGCUUAUUCGCUUUUUUUGUGGUAUUUUCGUACAUUUUUUUAUAAAACAAAAUAUUUGUGUAAUGUAAACAUCAACAUUUGAUCAAAAACAGGUCCAGAACAUUGUAACGGAAAAUUUAAGGCCAUACAACUACAUGUUAUGGCUUUCAAUUUUGUUUUAUUGACUGUUUUGUAUAAAAAUUAUAAUAUUUUUGUAGCUUUUCGAGUAAAAUAAAUUAAGUUUGUCAUGAAAACGUCACUAUUACUCAUCAAGAACGUCCAGUACGCUUUCACGAAUAAUUUAAAGGGAAAAAACUACUUUGCAUUGUAAGCCAUUAUUUUUGUUUACCACUUUGCGUGAAAAAUGUGGUACUUUCGUUGAUUUUUGAGUAAAUCAAAAUUUGAGUGUUAUGAAACCAUCACUAUUAUUCUUCAAGUAUGUCCCCCAAACUGCUACGAACAUUUCAAGGCUAAAAAACUACAUGUUAUCGUUUUAAAUUUAGUUUUGUUGACUACUUUGUGUAAAAAGUAUGGAAUUUUCGUAGUUUUCCAGGUAAAACAAAAUAAGAGUGUGAUUAGAACAUUUUCAUUGUUCAUCAGAAAUGUCAAGUACAAUCCUACGAACAAUUUAAGACCAAAAAAACUAUAUGUCAUCGCUUUGAAUUUUGAUUUAUUGCUUAUUUUAUGUGAAAAAUAGGGUAUUUUAGCAGUUUUUUGAGUAAGGUAGAAUAUCAGUGUACUGAGAAAUCACUAAUUUUGCAUAAACAUGUUUACUCCAGCUGUACGCAUGAUAAAGAGUCGAAAAAACCAUAUGUCAUCGCUUUAAAUUAUGUUUUAUUGAUCAAUGUGCGAAAAAAAUGCGCUCUCAAAAAAACUAGGAAGUGCCUUUUGCUUAAUAACUUUGGGUUGACGCAUCUAUUUUCUAUUUUUUCAAAUGGACGAUGAUCUUGAAACCUGUCCGGUUCCAUCGCAAAAAAAAGUUUUGAAAUCGGUUGAAAAACGGCCGAGAAAUGCCUUGUAAAAGUUGGACUUCCUACUUUUUUUGGACCCUUGGUAGUUCGCGGGAGUUUUUACACCCCCUCAGUAGUUUAAGUGUUAAUAUCUUGUGUAACAAUGUCCAAACUUUCGAUUGACGCAAAAGAUUUGCGUCUUAACAUCUUUUCGCCGAGUGGAAAGUUUCUGUUAUCUAGUACAGGGCAGCUAUUUAUCUCGACAACUCUAUGAUGACCAAGGAUACCAGAUGAUUUUUUUAAUCUGUGUCCCACACAAAAUCCGGAAGAAACAUCUGUAUCCCAUAUAAAAAUAACAACUACUCUAACUCAAAAAUCUGUAUUUCAAUUUAUGCAUGAUAUCUUACGUCAUGCAAUAGUUAAUGGGUUCAUGUUAUGCGUCACAAUUUUUCAUGAACAUACUACAAUGUGCCAUAUCAUGUAUUUACUAUAAUAUUUUUAAAUUCUCUUAGACACCUUUGUUUACAGAAAGCAUGUUGCUCUACGUGAGGAAUACAGAACUUAUCCUUGUUUUAUUGUAAAACCGAUAUUUCCUCGCUAAAAUUUCACCUAGUUCCUCAGGGGGUCAAAAAGAUCUCCUUUACCCUAUCACACAAACGUAUUGAUUUGUACAGGUACCGCAAAGCGAUGCACGUUUUGCAAAGUAUUGUGAAAUUUGUCAUUUAUUAAAUUUCCAAUUCCAUUUGUAUCGUAGAG